ACGAAUAAGAAGCGAAACUAAUAAAAAUAUUAUACAUAACAAAAAAACAAAAAAAAAACCCUCUCUCUUCCUAAACGCUCUCUCCUCUCUCCCCCGAAGAAGAAAACUCAGCCGAUGGUUUCUGCUCGGCCGGCGUCCGUUGGCUCUCGAGCCACGGCGUUGAGCCUGUCCUUGUGUUCUGUUUCUUUGUUAGGUCCUCGGUCUCCUUGUUGUAUGAUGAAGCAACGGUCCACCGUUUGAGCUCCGGUUCAAUGUUGGUGUUUGAGCCCUAGAUCUGAAGAGGUGAUGAUGCAGCAGUGACUCUCUCGACCCUACCAGUGGCUUCCUAUCCUGAUGGCUCAGAUCUAUCCGCCUCCGUUUAACCGCACGGUCAGGAAUUAGAUUAUCAAUCGCCAUGGCUGAUAUAUAUUUCAAGUCGGAACACCCACUGGAGAGGAGACAGAUUGAAGCUUCUCGCACCAGAGACAAGUAUCCAGAUAGAGUUCCUAUAAAUACCUUUUUUGAUACUUUGCUUUGAUGUGUAUAUUCUUCUUCUAUGUAGCUUUCUUCUUUAACAGAUGAAGUGUAUGUUGCAGGUGAUUGUAGAGAAAGCUGAGAGAAGUUUGAUGUUCCCAAUAUCGACAAGAAAAAUUCAGUAGUGUACUUGAGAUUGAUCUGUGACUUUUUUGGGUUUGUGUGAUUCAGGUACCUUGUACCGGAUGAUCUGACAGUGGGGCAAUUUGUGUAUGUUGUCCGUAAAAGAAUCAAGCUGAGUGCAGAAAAGGCAAUCUUUGUCUUUGUCAAGAACACAUUGCCUCCAACUGGUGAUUAGAAACUGGUUUUUGUUAGUUUUGUUCGCAUAAAACACUGGUGUUAAUUUGCGCAAACAAUUCUCUGCAAACUCGAAGCAACAAUGAAUGCUUGUAUAUGUAUUUAUGCAGCUGCAAUGAUGAGAACAAAGACGAAGAUGGGUUUCUCUACAUGACUUAUAGUGGAGAGAACACUUUUGGUUUGGUUUAAAAUCUGUCUACUUUUGGUGUUUUCAUAUAUAUAUAUAUAUGCUAUGCUCUUUGAAUAUGGAGAAAUUAUCUAUGUUGCUUUCGACUGAUUAUAUGUAAAUGUUGCUUUGGGCUGAUUAUAUGUAAAUGUUGCUUUUGAUGUUGUU